rnacentral:rRNA from 1 species
AGAGCGAACGCUGGCGGCAGGCCUAACACAUGCAAGUCGAGCGGCCGUAGCAAUACGGCAGCGGCAGACGGGAGAGUAACACGUGGGAACGCGCCCUUCGGUUCGGAAUAACUCAGGGAAACUUGGGCUAAUACCGGAUACGCCCUUACGGGGAAAGAUUUAUUGCCGAAGGAACGGCCCGCGUCCGAUUAGCUUGUUGGUGAGGUAACGGCUCACCAAGGCGACGAUCGGUAGCUGGUCUGAGAGGAUGACCAGCCUCACUGGGACUGAGACACGGCCCAGACUCCUACGGGAGGCAGCAGUGGGGAAUAUUGGACAAUGGGCGCAAGCCUGAUCCAGCCAUGCCGCGUGGGUGAUGAAGGCCCUAGGGUUGUAAAGCCCUUUGGCGGGGAAGAUAAUGACGGUACCGCAGAAGAAGCCCCGGCUAACUUCGUGCCAGCAGCCGC